UGGUGGCGAGUGGCGAACGGGUGAGUAAUACAACGGAACGUACCCAGAAGUGGGGGAUAACGCAGCGAAAGUUACGCUAAUACCGCAUACGUUCUACGGAAGAAAGUGGGGGAUCGCAAGACCUCAUGCUUUUGGAGCGGCCGAUGUCUGAUUAGCUAGUUGGUGAGGUAAAGGCUCACCAAGGCGACGAUCAGUAGCUGGUCUGAGAGGACGACCAGCCACACUGGAACUGAGACACGGUCCAGACUCCUACGGGAGGCAGCAGUGGGGAAUUUUGGACAAUGGGCGCAAGCCUGAUCCAGCAAUGCCGCGUGAGUGAAGAAGGCUCUUCGGGUUGUAAAGCUCUUUUGUCAGGGAAGAAACGGCAGGGGCUAAUAUCCUUUGCUAAUGACGGU
rnacentral:rRNA from 1 species